AUGGUGUUGUCUUUUGUGUGCAAACCACAUACCUGUUUUGUAGUGGCCAGAAAUCAGUGGUUGAGCUGUGUAACCACUUUGCUCUUCUCUUGUCCUUCAGAAACCCCAAAGUACUUAAUGAUGUCGGACACCAGUUUUUUCUUUUUUGGCUUUCCUGAGAUUGGACCAGACAUGGGAACCUUAGGCAGGCAUUCACCUCCAGUCCGCAAGCAGCAGCUGCUGGGCGAUAAAUGGCAGUCACCAGCAGAGGUCCCCCGCAGCUUGCUGCUAUCAACGCAGCCAGCGGCUGGAGAGGGGGAGGUGGAGCUGGGGAACAUUCCUGCAGCGUCUGCGCGAAAUCAGGAACAGCACUAGAGGACCAUUGCUGAUGGCGGGCAUGACAGUGUGCAGGGAGGGGAUGUGUUAUGUACCCAGAGAGCUAGCGGGACCUCACAUGACAUUAAUGGCCUUGGAGCAAUUUUUCUGAAGAGUGGACUCCUACAGAAGCGGCAAGAGAUCAACUGUACCCUGAAUGAGCUUUACUCACCAAAUGACCUUAAGAAAUGAUUGCAAGUAGAGCAUAUUUGCAGUUCAGUUCUGCCAUAGGAAUAAAACUCUGAACUUCACCCGUCAUGAUGUGCAGUGAGGACCAGGGGAGGCUAUGUUAUCUGAAAUAUGCUCUGAUACUCUAGGAUAUUAAUUGAGAGAAUGUAUCAUCAAGGCUUCAAACAAUUACCUUUGUGGGAUGUGUGUUGGAACUGAUGGAGCNGUCAGUAUAUUUUAUUGCUAGGACUUUUAAUAAUAAAUUGCAUAGGCAUAGUUUGGCUUUCAUCAAAUUCAAAGGAUAAGUUCCUGGAUCCAACCGUAUUUAUGAAGGAUGUAUUUCUGCAGGCUAUGAUGUUUAUGGCUGUUUAUUUUUUAUGCUGCAUAGAUAGAUAUUGGGACUGCUGUGAAAAAAUGACUUUUUCUCUUCCAAAAGUGCAAUGAUAGAUGAUGGAACCCCAGGGAUUACAGAAGGGCUAUGUGAUCUAUUAAUAAUAUUUAGAUAACAUUAAUUAUCACAAGCAUCAGUACAGAGGGAAGUUUCCAUGCCACCUAUCCUAUUUCUUAUAAGGAGAGCCGGUGUCUGUCUCAGCAUGAUUGGUAGUGCAGACUUUUUUCCUAACUGUGCUCGUCUUCUUGGUUCUCCCACACCUUCAGGUUAGUGAUUUAUUUUUCAUUCCUCAGGAGUUCACACUGCUGGAAAGGAAACACCAUAUUAUGAGCUUCCAGGCUUCAGGAGCAGGGUGACAUGCCUACAGAGGCUGCAACAACCAGGGAAUACAGUGGCAAUAUGGCUUUUCUCUCUGUUUCUGUUUCUCCAGUGGAGUGCUGUUUCUCCACUGCCUGCUCCUCAGUGGCCGCUGCCCUCCCCAGAGCUGGUGCUCCUUGCUGCCUGAUCAAGGCACUGCCCAAUAGGACUGCAGCUGAUGCAGAUGUAUGGGAUAUAUACCUCUACCUCAGCCACUGUUGUCACAGUACUCUGGAGGACCACAGUGGCUCCAAUCUCUUCCUCUGUAUAAAUAUACUGUAGUGUCAGCCUACACUGAGAUUUUGGUGUGUUGGGAUCCGCUGGCCUGGCUGGCCUGGGAGUGAUCCAUCUGAGGGACACAUUCUAAUAGGCUCCUGUUUCCUUCACUGCAGAAAGAAGAGGGACAAGGGCCAGCCAUUAACAACGUUUACGCUUUGACAUUUCCAACUGUCAGCUUUGUCAGUGAUAUUAUUUUGUAGAACUACAAAAACCAAACAUAUAUUUUCCUCAUGUGAGUCAAGCUAGAAGAGUUUUAACAUCCAUCAUAUAUAAUUAUCAGCUGCCUGAGAGAAUUCUUCCCCCCAUUCUUUUAUUAGAAGGGAAAAACCCCUGUAUGACUAAGUUCCCUUAUUACGUGAACUCCAGUGGAACUGGCAUCUGGCAUUUUCUGAUUCCAUUCAGCAGAUGCUAACAAAACUAAACUUCUAUCAUCUUCAUUAUUUAGAUUUUUCAUUACAGUAGUAAUUGUUCAGUAGUAAUUUAACUGGCCUAAGGACUGGGGAUUUAAUGUGCUGUUCGAAGAUUGAUCUUUUUGUGCUUUGCUUUCUGGCAUAUUUGUGUAUUUAUCUGCCUACCUACGUAGAAGAAUGAUACCAUUCUCAUGAAAAUGCCACUGGAUAUUGUGGUGAGAUGCAUCUUCGCAAGAUCUAUUGAUGUACAUGUAGGAGACAGCAUCAUGCUGCCAGUCACUGUUGUACGUGGAACAUGCAGGAGCGCUUGCUUCAGCUCCAACUGGAUUAGGACCACUCAACAAGUGCAGGGCAGGGAGGAUCGUUGUGUUUUGAUUUUUCCCAGACAGGAAAAGUGUUAAAUAUGCUUCAUUUUUUCCUCUCUUGCUCUUUCUCUUUUGGGAAAUGCAUUCUGCCUGACUUAAUUUGUUCCUUCUACUAUCUACUUCCUAUGUAUUCUUUGCUGAUACUGAGACCGAGGUAUACUGGCUGCUGAAGGAAGAUGGAAGGUAGAGAAAAUAUUUUAUUUUUAUCUAAUGUGUCAGAGGAAAGAUAGUGACAUUUCGGAGACGUCAAACUCUAAUGAUUAUGAUUGUUCUAUAAAUAAAAAGUAAACACACAUUCUCCCACCACUGACUGUAAACAAAUUUUUAGACGUCACAGGAAUAAAGAAGCUCACUAGUUGUCUUCAUUUAAUUUCCUACUGCCAAAUUACAAUUUCAUGUUUUGAUCAGGGUAAAUAGUGGGGGCACAGAUAUUAACUCCAUCCAGGCAAAUGGACAGGGCUCUCAUAAAAUCACCGGCACGCAGACUAAUCUUUGUGAGCCUCUGAAACUAGAUGAAGGACUUAUUCAAAUGCUAGGAUGUUUCUGUGUGUCCCACACAGUAAAAGUGAGUAGAAUUUGAUCUGAAAAGAGUCAUUACUGAAUAAAACAUUAUAUUAUAGAAACAGUCCUAAGCGUAGUAGGAAAAAAAUGGUUGAAACUCUGAAAGUAUAUAAUGAAAUGAAGAAAUUAACUAUAAAUAGCAAGUAGAAAGGAAGGUAACAGUUAAAAUAAAAAAUACAUUAAAAGAAACCUGGAAUAAAUAGUAGAAGAUGAAAUGAUGCAACUCCCUUCUUACACCAUUUGGUUACAUUACAUGGUAAAAUAAGGUUAAAUGAUACAUCACAAUGGCAAGAAAAUGUGUGGAUGUAAGUUGGGCAAAAUUUGCUGUAGCUUUUAUAAAAGCGCAUCCUUGUCCUUGUGUUCUCAGUGAGGAUUUAGUUUUUUUUUUUUUUUUACUUAAGUUUAUCUAACGAGAAUAACCAUAAGUAUUUUCAAAUUAAACAACUUUAAACUUUUAAAAAGCUAUUUAGAAUGUAUUGUUUCAAUACCCUGCACUGUUUGUACUCUAUAAAAUUACAUACUGUAGGUUGUUAGGAGAUAAUAAUCUGCAAAAUGCAAUAGUCGGUGUCCAGGCAGAAACUAUUGAAGUGUAUCACUACUGAAAACAAAGAACAAUGGGUUACUGGGAAUGGGUUACUUCAGGGAAAUGCCUUAAUGACAGAAAUAAUGAUAUUACCAACUAGUAUGUAAUAAUCUCCUUACCCGAUGACCGCCUGAGUCUCAAAAGUCUCAAGACUGUAACAUCAGAAUAAUUUGAGUGUUCCUUCAAAUAAAAGAACUGCUUCCACUUUUAACGACUAUCUGGAAGUAUCCCAAGGCAAAACAAUAAAAAAUAAAAAAUCCCGAGCCUUCCCAUCCACUCAUUUACAAAAAUAAUAACUUCAUUUUUCAGACUGGAAAUGCUAUAUUAAAAAGACUAUCAGAUUGGGAAUCCAAAUAUAGAAAAAAGCUACACCCAGGGAGAAGUUUGACAGCUGAAAACUCAGAGUUGAGGCUUUGUACAUUUAUUGAACCCUGAGGGCAGAGGUGGGUUAUGAAAUUUCAGUAACCCAUGGGAAAUAUAUGCGUAUAUAUAGAUAUUUUUUUUCCAUUUCUGCUGUGAAAUGUAUUAUGACUUAAGGAAGAUGAAUGUGAUUUAACUGUGGAAGAAAAAAGACCAAUUUCGUUAAAAAGGAGAUGAUGAAGGGGGGGGGGCCAAAAGCGUGUAUAGGUAUGAGCACACGGGCAGGUGUAUCUUAAAGCUGUUGGCCUAAAGCAAAAGGGUCAUCUAUGAUGAAGUGCAUCAAGAUUUUGCUUUCUGGCAAAAGAAAAGAAAAAAAAAAACCUGCUCUCUUUCCAUUUUCUUUUUCUUUCCACUAUCAGUUUCUUAGAUAAUGAAGUCUUACUCUGAUCAGAAACAUGCUACAUGUUCAUGGGAGCCAUUAGUGCAAACACAAAGGCAUAGCUAUAUGUAAGUUCAAGCCUGGUUGAAAAUUCCAUAAAAUGACAAGCCAGAGUGAAAAUUGGCUAAGAUAAUCAGAGAUGUGUUGUACUGGGUAAACAGAGUGAGACAGAAACAGUCUCAGCAAUAAUAAAUGCCCCCAAACUCAUUUCAGGGAAUGGGGCAACCUGGGAAGAAGCAGCAAAAGAUGGUGUAAAGGUAUUGCAAAGUAUGAGUUAAAGAGCAAGGGAAAAAUAUUUUUCUAAUCCCAUCCAGAAACAGACUUUCUAUUAAUUUAGCAAACAGUCAAAGUUGGCACUGAAGUAGUCUCAACAAGUAACUUAGUAAAAGAUAUGUAUUUUAUUAUAAUUAGAUGUAUGAUUGUUAAUACUGAUAAGUCUAGGUAUUCUCACAUUUAUGACUCAUUUUAUAUUUUGUAUAUUUCCAAAGUACAGACUGGCAAUAUUUCAGGUAAUGAAAUUUGUACUCUGGUUUUGUACACUGGGCAUGAUUUCCUAUGUGUAACAGAAUCUUAUAAUACACUCAUACAGUCUGGCCAGUGCAAGAAAUACAUGCAGCCUUUGAACUACCCAUUCACAUGAGAUGCUACUAAUCACAACCAAAUCAGACUAAUUAAGCUUAAUACAGCUCAUACAGCUAUAUGCAUUAGUAUGCACGAAAGCCAAAUUUCUUUAUU
ensembl:lncRNA